rnacentral:siRNA from 1 species
CCGCUUGUCCCGCAUUACUCAAA